CGCAGCUGAUAUUUCUCCUUUUUCCCGCCCCCCGGCACUGCCCGCCCCGGCGCCAUCCCAGGCACCGGCGGCGCAGUCGGCAUUCCUCUCUCCUGCGUUUCCUUAUUCUACCCCCGCGUGCCCAACGGUACCCACGGGGUCGCGCGUCCCCACUCUCCCCUGAUCAUCCUGCGCCGUACUCCCGCCUGACUCCGCCCGCUCGGCAUCCCUCGUCCGCAUUCUCGGCAACUCGUCCCAGGGGUAACCCGGCGGGCUGGGCUCGACUGGGAAGCAGCUCAAGAACAAGUGAUUAAGGUGCAACAGUUGGUGGGGACCCUACAGUGGCUGCUAUCAUUCGUACCAAUCACCCAGGAUGAGAUGCAGAUAUUUUACCUACUUCUCAGAGACGAGCCAGUAGCACAAGCCCCAAGGAUGCUGUCUGACCACCAGAAAGCAUUACUGGCAAACAGAAAGCAUUACUGUCUGACCUGGUUGACCUGGCAACCAGGUCAGCCAUUGGUCACCACUAUCCAUUUGAUUCCACAAGGAGUGCACGAUUUCCUGGGGCAACUUGAUGGUAGUUGUCAUCUCACCAUACUGCAGUAGAUCUAUCAGAGCCAUGAAAAGGUGGCCACGCCAUUUUGGACUCGAGUAUGCGCGGCCAUGAUUUGACGGGUAAGACAGUGUGCAUGGCAACUGUCAGGAAUGGACCCAACUGUCAUUAUGUUGCCUAUUUCAGUUGCACAAUGGAAAAACUGUUUCAGAUGGAGUGGGAGCUCCAAAAUGCCUUAGCAAAUUUUACCGGUCAGCUCAUGCUACUCUUAAAGUACAACUCAGCCGUCUUAGGGAGGGGGAGAGCAUGGGACAUAGAACUCCCCGCGAUAGGCAACACGAUAUUUUAAUGCGCUGUCUGUACAUCCUUAACCAUUUUGUUCGAGGGUCAGGACCCAUACCAGCGCGAGUACACUUUAGGGAGCAAGAACCGGUAGCAGUAGAUAAAUUACCAGCAGUCAAAUUACAGCAAAUUGACACUGGGGAGUAGGAAUCAGGGUGGAAGCUUAGAUGCCUGGGCCGAGGGUAUGCUUGUGUAGAAAAGGAGGUAAUCCAGCAGUGGGUCCCGGCAAAACGAAUACGACCAGAAAUACGAGUCUAACGGUGAGAUUGGGCGGCGAAGUGUAACACGAUCAGCACCUGUUUAUAUCUUCCUGCAAUUGGCUCAGCUAGCAUGUUAUGUAUCAGCCCGUGCCACAGGAUGCUGGAGUCAUCGAGCUUAGUGAGGGGGAGAUGUUGUAGUUGCCUGGAAGAUCUCGGACUGUGACACGAGAGGUGGAGAGUACAGAAGAGGCGGGCACAGGGAGGAGUGAAAGGAGGUGCUUGUGUUAGCAGGUAAAAGUGCAUGGCUCAAGCAAUAAGUUGGAAUAAAACAUCAUCCAUACUGA